rnacentral:ncRNA from 2 species
UCGGUGGUUCAGUGGUAGAAUGCU